GGAGAGGUGGCAGAGUGGUUGAACGUACCGCACUCGAAAUGCGGCAUAGGUGAAAGCCUAUCGGGGGUUCGAAUCCCCCCCUCUCCGCCA
rnacentral:tRNA from 1 species